rnacentral:rRNA from 1 species
CAGCAGCCGCGGUAAUACAGAGGGUGCGAGCGUUAAUCGGAAUUACUGGGCGUAAAGCGCACGUAGUCGGCUUGCCAAGUCGGGUGUGAAAUCCCCGGGCUCAACCUGGGAACUGCAUCCGAAACUGGCUUGCUAGAGUAUGGGAGAGGGAGGCGGAAUUUCUGGUGUAGCAGUGAAAUGCGUAGAUAUCAGAAGGAACAUCAGUGGCGAAGGCGGCCUCCUGGACCAAUACUGACGAUCAGGUGCGAAAGCGUGGGGAGCAAACAGGAUUAGAUACCCUGGUAGUCCACGCCCUAAACGAUGAUCACUCGCUGUUAGCGAUACACAGUUAGCGGCUAAGCAAAAGCAUUAAGUGAUCCACCUGGGGAGUACGGCCGCAAGGCUGAAACUCAAAGGAAUUGACGG